CAUGUCGAGAAGCUUCUUCAGAAACUCUGCCUCACUUCUGAUUUCGCUGGCCUUUCAUCGCUGAAGAAUUAAGCACAUGAGCUCGCAUUGGCAAAACUGGGGUCAAGGAAGUCUCAUUCUCUGCCAUAUAAAUAUCGAUCUAUUGUGCAGGUGCUCACCUUAAUCUUCAAGAAACUGUGUUCUUCAUAUGUUCCUCCUCGUGGAUGCUUUCCAAGGUGUAUCAGAAGUGCAUCACAGGAGAAUAUGGGUGUGCAUCUUCAUAUCAACAAAGCUUCUUCAUAUCAACAAAGCUUUAUAUAGAGGCUGAAGAUGUAGUGCUGUGUAUUGAACAAUGAAGAUGGAUUCAUGUCUUGGAAA